AUGAAAGCUCCAGGGAGAGAAAGCAACGCCGAAACCCUUGCGGCAAAUUUCAAUUCGCCGUAACUUCUCCGUCCGAGCUCCGAUUGCCGCACCGUUUGCGGCCACGCGUCCACCGCGUCGAGCUCUACAUUUCUAUCGGAACAAUUUCAUAGGAUCCAAUUAGCUUGAGAGAAACGUUCACUCUUGCUUAUGUGAAGCUUGGGUAAGAUGCAGGUCGAGAGGCAUCUCGUUAGGCGUCUGGACUCUUAAAGCGGAGUGGUUACUGGGAUAGCUUGUUAUGCUAUGAUGUAUAUAUAUGUACUUAGUUUUCUCUCCGCAUGACUUAUUCUUUUUGAUCCUCUUAGAGGUUUAUGGAGAGGCAGGAUUGUGUAUAUGUACUUUUGGGUUUGGAUAUGUAUGUAUAUAUGUGUAAAUAUUCUCCGGCCAGUCUUGACUUCGCAGGCUGAGUUAGGAGCUUGUUAUUUUGUAUCCUUGGUAUUCUACUCCUACUUCUGUUAGCUUAUGUUUGAUAGUUAUGAUUUUCUUAGCACGUAA